rnacentral:rRNA from 1 species
GAUGAACGCUGGCGGCGUGCCUAAUACAUGCAAGUCGAGCGAACAGACGAGUAGCUUGCUCCUCUGACGUUAGCGGCGGACGGGUGAGUAACACGUGGAUAACCUACCUAUAAGACUGGGAUAACUUCGGGAAACCGGAGCUAAUACCGGAUAAUUUAUUGAACCGCAUGGUUCAAUAGUGAAAUACGGUUUUGCUGUCACUUAUAGAUGGAUCCGCUCCGUAUUAGCUAGUUGGUAAGGUAACGGCUUACCAAGGCAACGAUGCGUAGCCGACCUGAGAGGGUGAUCGGCCACGAGAGAACUGAGACACGGUCCAGACUCCUACGGGAGGCAGCAGUAGGGAAUCUUCCGCAAUGGGCGAAAGUCUGACGGAGCAACGAAGCGUGAGUGAUGAAGGUCUUCGGAUCGUAAAAGUCUGUUAUUAGGGAAGAACAAAUGUGUAAGUAACUAUGCACGUCUUGACGGUACCUAAUCAGAAAGCAACGGCUAACUACGUG